GUCCUAGCCUUAAACGAUGAAUGCUUGGUGUCUGGGGUUUUAUAGUCCCCGGGUGCCGUCGCUAACGCUUUAAGCAUUCCGCCUGGGGAGUACGGUCGCAAGACUGAAACUCAAAGGAAUUGACGGGGACCCGCACAAGCGGUGGAGCAUGUGGUUUAAUUCGACGCAACGCGAAGAACCUUACCUGGGAUAGAAUGCCUCUGACAGCCAUAGAGAUAUGGGUCUUCUGGGUAAAACCAGACGGAGUGCAAGGUGCUGCAUGGCUGUCGU
rnacentral:rRNA from 1 species